AGACAACUAGGAUGUUGGCUUAGAAGCAGCCAUUCAUUUAAAGAGUGCGUAAUAGCUCACUAGUCAAGCGACUCGGCGUCGACAAUUAUCGGGACUAAACUGGUUACCGAAGCUGCGAAUCUCGAUUUUUUUUCGAGAUGGUAGGGGAGCAUUCCAUGCGGGAACUACGAAGUAGUAUCCCGGCUUUGCUUGGGAUGAAGGUGUGGCGUGAGCCAUGCUAGACUGCAUGGAAAAGAAAAUGUUGGCAUAAGUAACGAUAAGGUCGAUGAAAAAUCGGCCCACCGAAAGUCUAAGGUUUCCUGAGCAACGUUAAUCGACUCAGGGUUAGUCGGAGCCUAAGCCGAGGCUGAAAGGCGUAGGUGAUGGAAAACAGGUUAAUAUUCCUGUACCUGGUAAGUUUCGUUUGACUUCAAGGGGUGACGCAGGAGUGAAAGGUCAGCCACCUGCUGGCCUUAGGUGGUCUAAGCGUGUAGAUGGAGGGUGAAGGCAAAUCCGCAUCCUCAUACAUCGAGGCGCGACGGGGAGUCCGCAAGGACAUAAACUGACCCUAAGCACACUGCCAAGAAAAACCUCGUGGAGGAGAAACUUAUCAGUCCGUACCGCAAACCGACACAGGUAGACGGGAUGAGUAUUCUAAGGUGCUCGAGUGAGCCGUGGUUAAGGAACUCGGCAAAUUAACCCCGUAACUUCGGGAUAAGGGGUGCCCUAAGUAGGUAAAGGAUUUUGCAUCCAGAGCUGAACAGGGUCGCAGUGAAAUGGGCCAAGCGACUGUUUAUCAAAAACACAGGUCUCUGCGAAGUCAAUUAAGACGACGUAUAGGGACUGACACCUGCCCGGUGCUGGAAGGUUAAGGGGAGGGGUUAUUCCGAGUAAUCGGGAGAAGCUCUGAACCGAAGCCCCAGUAAACGGCGGCCGUAACUAUAACGGUCCUAAGGUAGCGAAAUUCCUUGUCGGGUAAGUUCCGACCUGCACGAAUGGUGUAACGACUUGGUCACUGUCUCAACCACGGGCUCGGUGAACUUGUGGUACCGGUGAAGACGCCGGUUACCCGCAUAUGGACGGAAAGACCCCGUGCACCUUUACUGCACCUUAGCAUUGGGUUCGAGUAAGGCAUGUGUAGGAUAGGUGGGAGACUGUGAAGUUCCGACGCUAGUUGGGAUGGAGUCGACGGUGAAAUACCACCCUUGUCUUAUUUGAAUUCUAACCUCGACCCUUGAAUCAGGGUUAGGGACAGUGCUAGGCGGGUAGUUUGACUGGGGCGGUCGCCUCCUAAAUGGUAACGGAGGCUCCCAAAGGUACCCUCAGCAUGGUCGGUAAUCAUGCGUUGAGUGUAAAGGCAUAAGGGUGCUUAACUGCGAGACCUACAAGUCGAGCAGGUGCGAAAGCAGGGCUUAGUGAUCCGACGGUAGCGAGUGGAAGCGCCGUCGCUCAAAGGAUAAAAGGUACGCCGGGGAUAACAGGCUGAUCUUGCCCAAGAGUUCACAUCGACGGCAAGGUUUGGCACCUCGAUGUCGGCUCAUCGCAUC
rnacentral:rRNA from 1 species